CUCCAGCAGCUCUUCAGACAGUGACAGUGAGGAUGACAAGAAGAAGAAGAAGGAGAAGAAGAAGAAAAAGGAUGAGGAGAAAGAGUACGUUUGGGACAAUGUCAUCAUAUCUUAUGUUGGUUGCGAUGGACAAGUGGAACAGGUUUCUGGAGAGGGUCUGAUCAAGAGCCAGGAUUUGGGCUCAUCAGAUGAUGACGAUGACA